rnacentral:rRNA from 1 species
GGAGGACAACCCGGGGAACUGAAACAUCUAAGUACCCGGAGGAGAGGAAAUCAAUCUCGAGACUCCCCGAGUAGCGGCGAGCGAAAGGGGACCGAUGGCCAAACCGUCGAGCGGGCGUACCCGGCAGGGGUUCCGCCGGCGGGGUUGCAGGGCCGCGCAUCCGGGGGCUGCCGCCCCCGGGCGCAGGUCCGGCUGGGGAGCGGAACGGCAUGGGAGGGCCGGCCGCAGCGGGUGACAGCCCCGUACGCGAACCCAGACCGGACGGCGCGACGCGGUCCCUGAGUAGGGCCGGGCACGUGAAACCCGGUCCGAACCUGGGUGGACCACCAUCCAAGCCUGAGUACUACCCUGUGACCGAUAGCGCACCAGUACCGUGAGGGAAAGGUGAAAAGCACCCCGGGAGGGGAGUGAAACAGUACCUGAAACCGUGCGCCCACGAGCAGUCGGAGCACCUUUACGGUGUGACGGCGUGCCUUUUGUAGAAUGAGCCAGCGAGUCGCUGGCGCGGGGCGAGGUUAACCGAAAGGGAGCCGGAGCGAAAGCGAGCCUUAACAGGGCGACUUGAGUCCCGCGCCGCGGACGCGAAGCCGGGUGAGCUAUCCGUGGGCAGGCUGAAGCGGGGGUAAGACCCCGUGGAGGGCCGAACGCACGUCGGUUGAAAACGGCGGCGAUGACCUGCGGAUAGGGGUGAAAGGCCAAUCAAACCCGGAGAUAUCUCGUUCUCCCCGAAAUAGCUUUAGGGCUAGCGUCGCGCGUUCACCGCCGGAGGUAGAGCACCGGAUGGACGAGGGGGCUUCGCCGCCUACCGAAUCCAACCGAACUCCGAAUGCCGGCGGCCCAGAGCGCGGCAGUCAGAGCAUGUGGGCUAAGCUGUGUGCUCGAGAGGGAAACAGCCCGGACCGCCCGCUAAGGUCCCCAAGUUCCAGCCGAGUGGCAAAGGAUGUGCGUCCGCCCAGACAACCAGGAUGUUGGCUUAGAAGCAGCCAUGCAUUCAAAGAGUGCGUAACAGCUCACUGGUCGAGUGGACAUGCGCCGACAAUACACGGGGCUAAGCUGGACACCGAAGCGGCGGGAUUUUACCUAAGUAGAAUCGGUAGGGGAGCUUCCCAUGGGCGGAGAAGCCGGAGGGCGACCGACGGUGGAGCGCAUGGGAGUGAGAAUGCUGGCAUGAGUAGCGAGAGACGAGAGAGUAACUCGUCCGCCGUGAACCCGAGGUUUCCUGGGCAAGGCUAAUCCUCCCAGGGUCAGUCGGGGGCUAAGGCGAGGCCGGGAGGCGUAGCCGACGCGCAGCAGGCAGACAUUCCUGCACCGCGCACGCGGCGCUACGACCGACGGGGCGACGGAUGGGGGUGGCUCGGCGGGGUUCUGGACGUCCCCGUGAUGGAGCGCGGCCCGCGGACCAGGGAAAUCCGGUCCGCAUCGAGGGCGAGGCUCCGGACGAAGCACUUAAGCGAAGCGAGUGAGCCCGAGGUCCCUAGAAAAACCCCUAGGCAGGCGCGUGCGCGCCCGUACCGCAAACCGACACAGGUGGGUGGGUAGAACAUACCGAGGCGAUCGGGUCAACCAUGGUCAAGGAACUCGGCACAAUGGCCCCGUAACUUCGGGAGAAGGGGUGCCCGCGCGUACGUGAACGGACUUGCUCCGGGAGCGGAGGCGGGCCGCAGUGGAGAGGCCCAAGCGACUGUUUACCAAAAACACAGGACUCUGCAGAAGCCGCAAGGCGACGUAUAGGGUCUGACGCCUGCCCGGUGCCGGAAGGUCACGCGGAGGAGUUAGCGCACCGCGCGAAGCCCCGAAGCCAAGCCCCGGUAAACGGCGGCCGUAACUAUAACGGUCCUAAGGUAGCGAAAUUCCUUGUCGGGUAAGUUCCGACCUGCACGAAAGGCG